CAGUCAGGCCUGGGAACAGUUUGAAGUAACUAUGGCCUUUACGUUGUACUCCCUGAUGCAGGCGGCCCUGCUGUGCGUGAAUGCCAUCGCCGUGCUGCACGAGGAGCGCUUCCUCAAGAACAGGAAUGAAGGAUGGCAGCACGCCGUGUGUUAAAAGCUGUUUUGGUAGAUCUCAGUGGCACACUUCACAUUGAAGAUGCAGCUGUGCCAGGCGCACAGGAAGCUCUUAAAAGGUUACGUGCCGCUUCUGUGAUGGUUCGGUUUGUGACCAACACAACCAAAGAGAGCAAGAGAGACCUACUGGAAAGAUUGCGAAAACUGGAGUUUGAUAUCUCCGAAGAUGCAGUGCUCAUCCUGUUUAACCCUUUCAUUACACAUUAAUUAGGAACAGGGGUAUUGAAUUGCAGCCAGCCCUAAACCUUGCUAAUCUCUCUUGUCUUAUAAAAGAUGAGACCUGAAGAAAGGGAGAGCUGGUAUUCCAUGCCAUUGAGUUAAGAUGCUCAUCGGGGUCACGGGGCUGGGAGGACGGUUCCUGCUAGUGUGGAGAAACAGCAGUGGUUCUCCAUUUCUCUAUGGUGGAAGCGAGAGGGAUCCUCUGUAUGACUGGCUCACACAGAGGUGCCCUGAGAGGUGCAUUAGGCUGUCAUCAAGAUGCCGGAGUCAGCCGUGGAGGCCAGCAGACAAAUCACAGAGCAGCAAGGUAGCAGCAGCACGGCGAGCCCUUCAGCUGAGGUGCAGUGAAGCUGCUUUAACAGAUGUGGAGAGCCAGAUCUUCCACUGUAUUCCCAGCACAGAUGACUUUUUUCUCUUCAUUAGCCAGAGAUGACUAAUUUAAAUUUAGAACCCGAAUUUAAUUUAAAAUAAUAUUUCCAUUAAUAACCUAUUCAUUGCAGAUACCUAUUAUACUGUGUAACAGUUGUUUUGGAAAUUUUAUGU
rnacentral:lncRNA from 1 species